AAUUUAGCAAGAUCAAUGCUUUCAUUCUGAGAAGGGUCGAGGCCGGACCCUCCUCCGGCCCCGGCUUCCAGAUCAUCCAUCUGCACCUCUUGUUUCAGGUCCUGAUAUUUUUUUAACGAAGGAGAAAACAAGUCAUUCAUCUUUUUGCCACCUUAAAUAAUAAUUUACUUUCCUCUAUUUCUUCAAAUUAUAACCUAAACUAGCUUUGAUUUUCUCUUGUCUAAGCCUUCUCUCUUCAAUCCCUAUAAUAUAUGCAAUUAGAAUGAUAGGUUUCACCUCUUGUUUCAGGUCCCGAUAUUUUUUCAACGAAGGAGAAAACAAGUCAUUCAUCUUUUCACCACGUUAAAUAAUAAUUUCCUUUCUUCUAUUUCUUCAAAAUGUAAUAUAAAAUUGCUUUGAUUUUCUCUUGUCUAAGCCUUCUCUCUUCAAUCCUUAUAAUAUUAGCAAUUUGAACAAUAGGUUUAUGGCCAUGUCCAACGGGGUGAUAAAUUGGUAAAGGAAAAAGAAGAAGAGAAGGUGACAAGAGAAAAGCCUUCAUUAAAAGACAAUAACAAACCAAAUUCAUCUGUUCGGUGAAGAAUUAAAAGUCAUAUUAUUAGAGGUAAAUUCCACCAAAACAAACUUGAGGACUUUCG
rnacentral:lncRNA from 1 species